rnacentral:rRNA from 1 species
UACGUAGGGUGCGAGCGUUGUCCGGAAUAUUGGGCGUAAAGCGCACGUAGGCGGUCCGUUAAGUCGGAUGUGAAAGCCCCCGGCUCAACCGGGGAAGUGCAUCCGAAACUGGCGGGCUAGAGUACGAAAGAGGGUCGCGGAAUUCCCGGUGUAGAGGUGAAAUGCGUAGAUAUCGAGAGGAACACCUGCGGCGAAGGCGGGGUUGCUGGGCUGACACUGACGCUGAUGCGCGAAAAGCUAGGGGGAGCGAACGGGG